rnacentral:rRNA from 1 species
UCGAGAAUUUUUCUCAAUGGGGGAAACCCUGAAGGAGCGACGCCGCGUGGAGGAUGAAGGUCUUCGGAUUGUAAACUCCUGUCAUUGGUGAACAAGGCCCUCGGUUAACUGCCGUUGGGUUUGAUAGUAGCCGAAGGGGCAGAGACGGCUAACUCUGUGCCAGCAGCCGCGGUAAUACAGAGGUGGCAAGCGUUGUUCGGAAUUACUGGGCGUAAAGGGCGCGUAGGCGGCCGCCUAAGUCAGACGUGAAAUCCCCCGGCUCAACCUGGGAACUGCGUCUGAUACUGGGUGGCUUGAAUGCGGGAGAGGGAUGUGGAAUUCCAGGUGUAGCGGUGAAAUGCGUAGAUAUCUGGAGGAACACCGGUGGCGAAGGCGGCAUCCUGGACCGACAUUGACGCUGAGGCGCGAAAGCUAGGGGAGCAAA